GAUGAACGCUAGCGGCAGGCUUAAUACAUGCAAGUCGAGGGGCAGCACGGUUAGCAAUAACUGGUGGCGACCGGCGCACGGGUGCGUAACACGUAUACAAUCUACCUUAAACAGGGGGAUAGCCUUUCGAAAGAGAGAUUAAUACCCGUAAUAAAUUGAACGGCAUCGUUUGAUUUUGAAAGCUCCGGCGGUUUGAGAUGAGUAUGCGUCUGAUUAGCUAGUUGGUGAGGUAACGGCUCACCAAGGCGACGAUCAGUAGGGGAUCUGAGAGGACUAACCCCCACACUGGUACUGAGACACGGACCAGACUCCUACGGGAGGCAGCAGUAAGGAAUAUUGGACAAUGGGCGAAAGCCUGAUCCAGCAAUGCCGCGUGAGUGAUGAAGGCCUUAGGGUUGGUAAAGCUCUUUUAACCUAGGGGAUGAUAAUGACAGUACCU
rnacentral:rRNA from 1 species